GGACUCACUUCAGCAGCUCAUAUAUUAAAAUUGGAACGAUACAGAGUAGAUUAGCAUGGCCCCUGCGCAAGGAUGACAUGCAAAUUCAUGAAGCGUUCUAUAUUUUC